AGUUUUGCUGGUUUGCUGUCAGCGUUCGUAUCGUUGCUGUGCAAAUCCAUGCAAAACUGA
rnacentral:pre_miRNA from 1 species